AGCCAGUGUGGCGUAACGGUUAAGAGUGUUGAACUAUGGCCUGGGAGGCCAGGGUUCGAAUCCCUGCUCAGCUA